UAAGAAGGGGGCUAGCGUUGCUCGGAAUCACUGGGCGUAAAGCGCACGUAGGCGGGUUCUUAAGUCAGGGGUGAAAUCCUGGAGCUCAACUCCAGAACUGCCUUUGAUACUGGAGAGCUUGAGUCCGGGAGAGGUGAGUGGAACUCCGAGUGUAGAGGUGAAAUUCGUAGAUAUUCGGAAGAACACCAGUGGCGAAGGCGGCUCACUGGCCCGGUACUGACGCUGAGGUGCGAAAGCGUGGGGAGCAAACAGG
rnacentral:rRNA from 1 species